rnacentral:rRNA from 1 species
GAUGAACGCUGGCGGCGUGCCUAAUACAUGCAAGUCGAGCGAACAGACGAGGAGCUUGCUCCUCUGACGUUAGCGGCGGACGGGUGAGUAACACGUGGAUAACCUACCUAUAAGACUGGGAUAACUUCGGGAAACCGGAGCUAAUACCGGAUAAUAUAUUGAACCGCAUGGUUCAAUAGUGAAAGACGGUUUUGCUGUCACUUAUAGAUGGAUCCGCGCCGCAUUAGCUAGUUGGUAAGGUAACGGCUUACCAAGGCAACGAUGCGUAGCCGACCUGAGAGGGUGAUCGGCCACACUGGAACUGAGACACGGUCCAGACUCCUAGGGGAGGCAGCAGUAGGGAAUCUUCCGCAAUGGGCGAAAGCCUGACGGGGCAACGCCGCGUGAGUGAUGAAGGUCUUCGGAUCGUAAAACUCUGUUAUUAGGGAAGAACAAAUGUGUAAGUAACUAUGCACGUCUUGACGGUACCAAAUCAGAAAGCCACGGCUAACUACGU